AAAGUGAGACGGGUGGUCGCGGCUAACGCCGAGGAAAGUCCGGACUCCACGGGCGAGGAUGCUGGGUAACACCCAGGGGGAGUGAUCCCCGGUAAGGGCCAUAGAGAAGAAAACCGCCGAAAGGCAAGGGUGGAACGGUGGGGUAAGAGCCCACCAGAUCCGGGGCGACCCGGAUGCUUGGUAACCCCCAUCCGGAGCAAGUCCAAGCAGGGAGGGUCAGAGGACGCCCGCCAAAUUCCCUCCCGGGUAGGACGCUUGAGAAAUGCGGAAACGCAUUUCCCAGAUAGAUGACCACCUAAGACAGAAUCCGGCUUAUAGUCUCACUUUCCAG
rfam:Kosmotoga pacifica strain SLHLJ1, complete genome.